rnacentral:lncRNA from 1 species
CGGUCCGAUCAAGAGCUCUUUAACGACAAAUCAGCCGACUCUCUGGUUAAAAAGUAUGCCGCAGAUUCUUCGAAGUUUUUCAAACAGUUCACCAAAUCUAUGAUCAAGAUGAGCAACAUCAAGCCUCUCACAGGAAAUUCUGGGCAAAUUAGGAUCAAUUGCAGAAAAGUCAACUGAAAAAACAUGGUGUUUGUGAAAGGAUUAUAGCUACUAUUUUCGUUACAAUUAUCUUGCUUAUUUCAGAACUUCAACAAUAGCUGCUGUAGAACAUCUGGUAAACUUAUCAGAAACAGUGAAAACUUACUUUUACUUUCAUGAUUUGCUUAAAGAUGCCUUCAAUUCGAGUUGUUUGUAACAUUGUUUAUAUCUGCAAUCGUGAUAAAUGAGACGGGUCUUUAAGUUUAUUAUUGUUUAUCAGUGUAAAAUAAAACUUACUCAAAGGCAGCAUUGGAGGCUAAAGGAACCUUAAGCUUUCAAUAGAAGAUCUUGAAAAUAAAGAAAAAAACAUCACAACAAACUAACGUACGUCAAUCAACAGAAGGAACUUGGCAACCUACGUUACCUUAUUUAUACCUUCCACGUUUUUCCAAAUCCUUAUGUGAGAAUUAAC